rnacentral:lncRNA from 1 species
CUGUCUGCUUUUGAAAACUGUGGACUUUCACAUAACUUUAAAAUAUUGUAACGACCCCAAUAUUAAUGUAGGCCACAAAGAGGAUGUUGCCUUUCUGCAGACUAGUGCCUUCUUCUUUUUUCAGGCUCCAGGCUGUGACAGCACAUGAAAAAACAGCUGACAAAUAUCCCCCAGAAGAAUUUGCGAAGCCCAAAGAAGAAAAGAAGCCACAACUACAGACUGAAAGUAACCAGAAAGGAAAUGAAAGUGCUGAUUCCUGAUAGAGGGCAUCUUCUUCACAAGUUCUGCAUUUUGCGGGAGAGCCUUUCUCCUCAGAGACUAGCCAGGGCUGGGACGAAGGAAGAAGCAGAGGAGAAAACCAAGGGAAAAGAGCCUCCCACCAGGUGAAACCUUUGGUAAAAAAUUUGUAUCAACAAAAAGAUUUUGCCUUUAAUAUGGGGACUGCUGAGAUGAAGAGAAAGGCUAUUGAAGAGAGGAGAGAACGUCUGGUAAGACUGUGUUUUAAAAAGAAAAAGUAAUUUCCACCCUGGGAACUUCUUUGUCAAAGCUCUGGCUGACGUUUCUUUCCAGAAGGGUCCAGACCAGACCAAGGAACCGCAGGAACAGUUUCUCAGUUCUGGCCAAGAGAAGACACAGUGUUAUUCAUUUGCCAUUGCUAGGCUGUCCACUGUGGGGGAAGCAGCAAGUGGGACAGGGAGCACAGAUGCCCAGAGCAAAACCUGAGCUCAGAAUGGGUCAGGAGGAUCAUUUGGUCUGACCUGC